rnacentral:rRNA from 1 species
CGAGCGGGGAAUAACCAAGGGAAACCUUGGCUAAUACCGCAUAAUACCUACGGGUCAAAGGAGUAAUCCACUUGAGGAGGGGGUCGCGGCCGAUUAGCUAGUUGGCGGGGUAAUGGCCCACCAAGGCAGUGAUCGGUAUCCGGCCUGAGAGGGCGCACGGACACACUGGAACUGAAACACGGUCCAGACUCCUACGGGAGGCAGCAGUGGGGAAUUUUGCGCAAUGGGGGAAACCCUGACGCAGCAACGCCGCGUGGAGGAUGAAGUCCCUUGGGACGUAAACUCCUUUCGAUCGGGACGAUUAUGACGGUACCGGAAGAAGAAGCCCCGGCUAACUUCGUGCCAGCAGCCGCGGUAAUACGAGGGGGGCAAGCGUUGUUCGGAAUUAUUGGGCGUAAAGGGAGUGUAGGCGGUUUGGUAAGUCUCGUGUGAAAUCUUCAGGCUCAACCUGAAGUCUGCACGAGAAACUGCCGGGCUUGAGUA